GUGGGAGAAGAUGGAACGAGAUGGAUUUUGGCCGACAUUCUUCAAAUUAUCUCAUCGAUGAAACAUUUGAUCUCAAUACAGUUCUGUUCCCAAAACUACAAUCUGUUACGAACAGAAUGGACAAAGUUUUGUAGACUUUACCCUUUGCCAAAGUUUCAAAAAAUUGCAUUGUUUAGAUUGAACGCAAGAGCAAAUGUAGUUAUUGCACUCGCACAUCCCAGAGUAUGUGUUCCUAACGGAAAUAUGGAAAUAUAUGCUACAACGCGCCAAUAGGAUCUUGCUAGCUCCUUGCUUGUUCUGCCCACUAUGAUUAAUAUGCUCCCAUUGGGCGACAGGCUGUGGUCUGUUUUAGGUUAGCUAUAAAAAAUAUUUGGUACAAUGGUUUCACCCUCCUAUUAGUGAUGGGCAUUCCGAGUCUUUUCGGUGAGCCUGCUUAUCUGGCUAGCAAAGGGCUCUUCGUUCAAAAUGCCUAACAUUUUACUAAGAAAUAAGAAUCGUGAAAAAAUUCCAAAUCUCCAAUGUAAAGGCCAAAAAGUAGGCUACCAUUAUGAAAUGCGCGUUCAAAUAUAUUUUUACCUGACCUAAUGAUUAGAUCACAUGAUUUGUUGUUGAACACACUGCAAAAAGUAUCGUGGACCACGCUCUCCCCACUAUUUAUUGUUUCUGCAGUGAGGAUUCAGCCUAUUUAGUUCAUUAUUUUGUAACGUAUCUACAUUUAAACGUUGUUUUGAGCUCAAAAAGCAGUAGCAGUUUGCAAAUCUGGGAGCAUUCACGCUGCAAUUCGGUUCCCAACGUUCACCAAAAAGAGCCGUUGGUGAGGGAACGACACUUCACCUAUCAGAUUGCUGCGUUCACCUCUAGCCACUGUCGUAAUCUGAUUCCAAGUCCAUCUGGCAUCUUCCAUCUCGAAGUAAAAUGUAAAUUUGUGUUUCAAAAAUAUGUAUCUAUUGGCACUAUUACUUAAGUAGCUAGAUACAUGUUGAGUUCAGGAUAAUGCAAUUAAUGGUUAGAUUGCUACAUUGUUGAUAUACCAGUAGUUGGCUAGCUACAAUUAGGAAGAUGGCUGACUCGAUGGCUAACGUUAGCAAGCUAACUUUUGUUAUUGUUUAUCAUCGUUGCCCAACACCAGAUCAUCAUCAUGUCGGGAGCUCUGUUUCCCAACACCAGAUCAUCAUCAUGUCGGGAGCUCUGUUUCCCAGUGUGGUGUCAGGGUCCCGCGGCUCCUCCAGCAAAUUCCUGCUUGAGUUUCGGGCAGGGAAGAUGACCAUGAAGGGUAGCACAGUGACUCCAGACAAGCGCAAGGGACAAGUCUAUGUUCAACAGACUGUUAUCAGCUGCCAAUUGUAUGAGAAACCCUCCAAUGCCUGGAGCCCUGGGCAGUGGAGGCAGCAGCGGGCAUGAUCUGUCUGCUCUGAGGGGUAAGGCUGGACUGCAGAGUUUCCUCGGUAACAUGAGUCACAACCAGCUCAUGCAGCUCAUUGGCCCUACUGGACUGGGAGGUCUUGGAGGUCUUGGGGCUCUGGCUGGACCGGGCCAGGCCAGCCUGCUAAGUAGUGGAGGUCCUGCAGCCGGCAACUCCUCUUCAAGGUACCACAAUUAGUCUCUCGGUCUCUCCCACUCAGUCCAUCUCAGUCUCCUGCGGUCACCCAUCACCCCAUCUGCCACCAGUGCAUUGUCACCCAUGGCCUCACCCGCCACCCCUGUUGCCCCCUCCCUCGCAGCCGGGGCAGCCAGCCCCACCCAACCAAUCCAGCUGAGUGACCUGCGGAGUAUCCUAGCAACCAUGAAUGUACCUGCAGCCGGGCAGGGAGUGAACCUGGCCAGUGUUGUGACCCCUGAGAUCAUGGCUCCUAUCCUGGCCAAUGCUGAGGUCCAGGAGAGGCUGCUGCCUUUCCUGCCAUCAGAAGAGGCCCUGCCUCAGAGCACCGACGAGCUCCACAACAUACUCACUUCCCCACAGUUUCUGCAGGCCAUGGGUCUGUUCAGUAGUGCCCUGGCUUCAGGGCAGUUGGGGCCUCUAAUGAACCAGUUUGGGCUGCCAACAGAAGCUGUGGAUGCAACUAACAAAGGAGACAUUGAGGCUUUUGCUAAAGCCAUGGAGACAGACAGCAAGUCUGACCAUGAGGACGAUGAUUCCAAAGACAAGGAUGACGAUGAAGAUAUGAGUUUGGAUUAGUACCUGUGUUAAUCCAGUUUCAUUAAAUAUUUUACUGGCUGAUUUGUUAUUUAGAGCACUGAAGCUGUCCAUUAAAUAUAUAUUCUGAUAGGAAAUGUAAGACACCUACCCUCAAUUGGGUGUUAAAUUUAUAACAAAUUAAUGCACACAUGCUCAAAUCCUCAGAGCUCGAAUCAACAUAACAUUAAAUGUGUUUCCUGAUAUAUUGCAAACCAGAAUACUGUGACUGUUUAGGACUUGGGCCAUGGUAGACUAGUGACAGCUACAUGUGCCAAUGUGACCUGUAGCUUCCUGGCCUAAACCCCCCCCCAAAAAAAAACUCCAGUCAUGUGGUCUUAAAUGGUUAGAAAAUGUUUAAAUAUAUUUUCUGAUUUAAGAAGAAAAAAAUUAUACUUUUACAAAAUUGACACCAUUCAUGAGCACAACAUUUUCAGAAGUUCUACCAUUUCACAUUCUAAACAAAUUACAAGAGGUAAUUUUUUUAAGCAUACAUUUGCAAAACAAAGACAUCCAGUCACACCACAGCAGAAAUCUGCACAUUACUGUACAAAACGUUUUCUCCAAGGUCACUCACAGAACAAUGAGCUUCACAUUAUGCAGAGUCCAACUUUCUAUGAUAUUCACAGGUACGGUCAAACACCAACAAGAGAGUGAAAUACAAGAGGGAAUAAUAUCUGGAUAGGACUGAUACAUCAUUCAACUCAUGGUGGUUUUAGGCACUUUACUGUUUUGUCAAGUGGCAUAAUACAACGCAAAUGAAGAGAAAUACUGUAAAUAAAUCCACUUUUUAGGACACAACCGGUUUCUACCUGCUCUCAUUCCAGAGUUUUUCUGUUUGAUAAAUCCCAUGAUCCCAGAAUGAUCAGUGGAAAAAUAAAGCUUUAAUUGAAAGAUAUUUCCUGAGAACUAAAAAAAAAAAAAUAUGACAACUGGCUUGUGGAUGAUCCAGCACU